GUGGACAUAUAUUAGUCCUUUCCCUGUGGAGACAUGGUGUGCGAUGGUUGCAAACAGCAGCCUCCUUGGUAGUAUAUGGAGCCUGUUGCCUAUAUGGGUUGCCCUGAAGAACCUUGGAGAUGAUU
rnacentral:snoRNA from 1 species